UUCACUGUAUGCAGGUCGGGUCAAACCCAUCAUCUGACUCAUAAUCAUGAAGCCUGAUCACGCUAGAGCACACAUGGUAGCCAUCCCGAAUGACACAUGCCAAAGUACAUGGGCUUUCAAAAGUAAGAAGAAUUAUGAACGCAUGGAUGGCAGGAUUACUUUGCAAACAAACAUGCAUCCAAUCAUGAUCCAGCAUUUCCACUUCUCCGUGAUACAACCCAUGCAUCCCAGCUCAUUUUCUUAUCCAGCAUCUACAUCCAACUUCAUGUUAUCUUCCACAUCCAACAAACAUUCCUCUGUUUCGGGAUUAAUUCCAGCAGAAUGUCACUCUCCCUCCUAUGUCCAAAGAACUCAAAUGACUCCAUCACACUGCACCAUUUCACAAGCAAUCAGAGUCGACUCCACAUCAUUUGGAGUCGACUCCAAGAUCAACUGCAUCCCAUCAAAUUCUUCCCUUCUCCUUAUGUGUUCACUCAUUCCAACUCUUUUUCCACAUGAUCCUAUUUUAAUAAAAUCCCUUCAAGUAUUUGUUUCUCAUAUCUCAAAGUAUACCAUCUAGUUGCACGGAUCCCAAAGACUCAACCCAUCCUCAUCCUUGUUCCAUCUCUAAACACAACCCCGAACUCCUCUCCGUUAACAAAACCAACUAAACUUCCCAGCUCUCUUCCCUCUUCCGAACCAAGCAAUCAUCCGAGAUCUUCCCAACAUUAUCUCCCCUGUUCCACGUCAUUUCCAAAGAAUAGAACCGCUUCCACCUGUGAUGAAUCCCAGCCUUCAUCCCGUUACUAAUCAUCCUUAUCCCAUGGCCAGCCGCAUUCCCAAGCGUUAUGGAUUGAUUCCAUCCACCACGAAUGAGUUCCAAGCGUUAACGCUUCCAGCUCAACCUCAAAUCCCAACUUCAUGGCUUCCGAUUCUUCUUCCCAGACUUCACGGAAACAGAUUCUCCCAGCUCACAGAUCCUACGCUUAUCCUGUUCGGAUUGGUUCCAUCUUCACGGGAUAAACUCAAAUCCUAAAAUUCCCUGUUCCGCAUGAGAACCAGCAACCACCCUCUUCUCCCGCGAUGCAGAUCAAACUUCAACAGCAUCCUCCCCUGUUACGUGUAUCAACCGAUGCCUUCAUCACCCACGUCGCAUCCCCUGCUCCGCUAGAUCUUAGCCAAGAUAGAUGCAAAUCCAAGCUUCCCAGCAUCCGGAUUAACUUCAUCACCCACAGAUUCCUCCUCUUCCCCUGUUUCGGAACAGAGCUUCAGUAAUCCGCGAGGUGUCCAUGAGUCCCCUAGCCGCGAGCUUCUUCCACGUAGUCCAUCCCGUGGCCGCAGAUCAAGCAACUUCCCUGAACCAGACCUCAUCCUGAUACGAUCAAGUUCAGCCAUCCACAGAUAAAGUCUCGCUUCCAAUCUACUCCCACGUCCGGAUACUCCGCAAGCUUCUUCUAGAUUCUUCACGUUCGCGAAUAACAGCCAGCCACCAUCCGUGAUUCAAGGCUCCUUCCCUCCAUGUCUGCAGCCUCUCUCCCAUUUGCGAUCAGCCUCCAUCGACCACAGAUCAUCCCAAUCUUCUUCCGGAUAAGCUCCAGUCCCAGCAACCUCCUGCGUCUUUUCCGUGAUUCAUCGUCAUCUCCUCUCAACCGGGAAUGGAGAGAGAGGUGGGCAGCCUAUAAAAGGGGCCACGCAUGAAAUAGAGAAUUCAUUCCUCCUUCCCCACCGGGGGGGGGGGGCAAUCCCUUCUUCCUCACCGAAGGGAGUCGGCUGAUCAUCUUCUCAGAGGGCGGGGAGAAGCCAAGUUCC